rnacentral:rRNA from 1 species
GAUGAACGCUGGCGGGGGUGCUUAAUACAUGCAAGUCGAGCGAAUGGAUUAAGAGCUUGCUCUUAUGAAGUUAGCGGCGGACGGGUGAGUAACACGUGGGUAACCUGCCCAUAAGACUGGGAUAACUCCGGGAAACCGGGGCUAAUACCGGAUAACAUUUUGAACCGCAUGGUUCGAAAUUGAAAGGCGGCUUCGGCUGUCACUUAUGGAUGGACCCGCGUCGCAUUAGCUAGUUGGUG